UACGAAGGGGGCUAGCGUUGCUCGGAAUGACUGGGCGUAAAGGGCGCGUAGGCGGAGUGCUUUGUCAGGCGUGAAAUUCCAGGGCUUAACCUUGGGGCUGCGUUUGAGACGGGCAUUCUUGAGUAUGGAAGAGGGUCGUGGAAUUCCCAGUGUAGAGGUGAAAUUCGUAGAUAUCAGGAGGAACACCGAUGGCGAAGGCAGGUCUCUGGGCUGACACUGACGCUCAUGCACGAAAGCGUGGGGAGCAAACAGG
rnacentral:rRNA from 1 species